rnacentral:lncRNA from 1 species
CAAUCAAAUGCAGCUGAGGCCAAUUUAAAACAAAACAAAACAACAUCAACAAAAAUCUAUCUGUUCUCAUGGCAGGGGGAUUUGCAGAGCUGUUGCUGAACAAUAGGUCUCAGGAUAUAAAAGACGUGCUCGGAAGUUACCCCUUUUUAAGCACGUUAAGGAAAGAGACUUGGAUUUUUUUGCAUUUGCUUCCCUUUUUCUCUGCUUCCAGGUAAGAUAUGAUAAGUCUCAAGUGAGUAUAUUACCAAUUGUAUCACAUCAUCUUUCACUAACUUAAAAUGCCCUGUAUAUAUCAUGUGUCACUGCAGAUGAGAAUUCAAAUUUGAAUCAUGGUAAUUGUCCUCUACAGAAAUCUACUUUCCUGAUAAAAUUAAUAUGACAAUUUGUGUUCUGUGUCUAUUUUUUUGUUUGUUUGUUUUAUUUUAAGGAAAACCUCAUGCUAUAUUCAUUCAAAGCUUUCUGAGGCUUUGUUUUUCCCUAGAAGAUGUCCUAGAUUUUAUUCUUUAAUGUUGUCCCUGAUUUAUUGAAUGUCCAUGUUUCCCUGGAUAGUACCAUCUUUUGAGUUAUACAUCAUCGGAGUGACUCAUUCCGAUGAUGUAUUGCAUUAAUACAUCAUCAAAGCGCCUUGCUCUGCUGUUGCACUAAUGAUAUGUUAGUAUAAUACAUCAUCAGAGUGAACUGCACUGAUGAUGUAUUACUCAGAUGGUGAUGGCAUUCUGUGAAGAAAAGGUUGAGGAGCAGGUUCAAUACAGUCACAGGAGAAAAAUUAGUCAAUACAGAGUAUAACUGUUUCUCCAGUAGUGAUGCUGAUGCUAAAUUAGCACCAUAGCCCCUGAUCUGUACCCUUGCAGAAACACUGAGACAUGCAUUAUCCCCGAAAGAGGAAUGAAUUCAGAACACUCAGCUAAAGGAUUUUACAGAAGAGAGGAGAGGUGUAACCAUACAUAUCACUGGAAAGCUAAAGGUUAUAUAUAUAGCUAUAAUUACUGGGUACCGAGAGAUCAAAUGAAUCAAACAGGGCCAAAAUAAGACCAAAGUGAAGAUAUGUUCAGUAGCUGCCUCUCUGGUGGAGAAUGUGACACAUAGGGAGACAGAGAUAUAAGGGCUAUAAAUAUGCUGUCUGAAUUAAAACAGCUGCCACUUAGAAGCCCCCAGCAGGGAUAUUAAAACAUUGUGAGGCAUGCAGGAAGUCUAUGCUGUAGUAUUUUUUAAAAC